AUUCCAGCUCCAAUAGCGUAUAUUAAAGUUGUUGCGGUUAAAAAGUUCGUAGUUGGAUUUCUGUGAAGGAUAACCGGUCCGCACUAUGUGCGUGUAUCUGUUUGUCCUUUGCAUCCUCGCGGAAUACGUCACUGUGCUUCACUGCAUGGGGCGGGCUUCGCGACUUUUACUUUGAGGAAAUUAGAGUGUUCACGGCAGGCUCACGCCAUGAAUAUAUUAGCAUGGAAUAAUAAUAUAGGACCUUGGUUCUAUUUUGUUGGUUUCUAGGGCUAAGGUAAUGAUUAAUAGGGACAAUUGGGGGCAUUCGUAUUAACGCGUCAGAGGUGGAAUUCUUGGAUUGCGUUACGACGAACUACUGCGAAAGCAUUUGCCAAGGAUGUCUUCAUCA
rnacentral:rRNA from 1 species